UACAGAGGAUGCAAGCGUUAUCCGGAAUGAUUGGGCGUAAAGCGUCUGUAGGUGGCUUUUUAAGUCCGCCGUCAAAUCCCAGGGCUCAACUCUGGACAGGCGGUGGAAACUACCAAGCUGGAGUACGGUAGGGGGCAGGAGGGAAUUUCCGGUGGAGCGGUGAAAUGCGUAGAGAUCUGGAAGAACACCAAAGGCGAAGGCAGCGUCCUGGCUCGUAUCGACGCUCAUGUGCGAAAGCUAGGGGAGCGAACGGGAUAGAUACCCCAGAG
rnacentral:rRNA from 1 species